GAUGAACGCUGGCGGCGUGCCUAAUACAUGCAAGUCGAGCGAACAGACGAGGAGCUUGCUCCUCUGACGUUAGCGGCGGACGGGUGAGUAACACGUGGAUAACCUACCUAUAAGACUGGGAUAACUUCGGGAAACCGGAGCUAAUACCGGAUAAUAUAUUGAACCGCAUGGUUCAAUAGUGAAAGACGGUUUUGCUGUCACUUAUAGAUGGAUCCGCGCCGCAUUAGCUAGUUGGUAAGGUAACGGCUUACCAAGGCAACGAUGCGUAGCCGACCUGAGAGGGUGAUCGGCCACACUGGAGCUGGGACGCGGUCCAGACUCCUACGGGAGGCAGCAGUAGGGAAUCUUCCGCAAUGGGCGGAAGCCUGACGGAGCAACGCCGCGUGAGUGAUGAAGGUCUUCGGAUCGUAAAACUCUGUUAUUAGGGAAGAACAAAUGUGUAAGUAACUAUGCACGUCUUGACGGUACCUGGUCAGAAAGCCACGGCUAACUACGUG
rnacentral:rRNA from 1 species